rnacentral:tRNA from 1 species
GCACUCAUAGCUCAGGGGAUAGAGUAGCGCACUCCGAAUGCGUUGGUCGAGGGUUCGAAUCCCUCUGGGUGCACCA